rnacentral:rRNA from 1 species
UCUCCUGGAAACGGGUGGUAAUGCCGGAUGCUCCGACUCCUCGCAUGGGGUGUCGGGAAAGAUUUCAUCGGUAUGGGAUGGGGUCGCGUCCUAUCAGGUAGUCGGCGGGGUAACGGCCCACCGAGCCUACGACGGGUAGCCGGCCUGAGAGGGCGACCGGCCACAUUGGGACUGAGAUACGGCCCAGACUCCUACGGGAGGCAGCAGUGGGGAAUAUUGCACAAUGGGCGCAAGCCUGAUGCAGCGACGCCGCGUGCGGGAUGACGGCCUUCGGGUUGUAAACCGCUUUUGAUCGGGAGCAAGCCUUCGGGUGAGUGUACCUUUCGAAUAAGCACCGGCUAACUACGUGCCAGCAGCCGCGGUAAUACGUAGGGUGCAAGCGUUAUCCGGAAUUAUUGGGCGUAAAGGGCUCGUAGGCGGUUCGUCGCGUCCGGUGUGAAAGUCCAUCGCUUAACGGUGGAUCUGCGCCGGGUACGGGCGGGCUGGAGUGCGGUAGGGGAGACUGGAAUUCCCGGUGUAACGGUGGAAUGUGUAGAUAUCGGGAAAGAACACCA